rnacentral:misc_RNA from 1 species
GUCAGGAAUUCAAAAUCAAGUGCUUGGGUAUUCCUUAAACCAUUUACAGUGGAGAUGUGGUUUGUUACAGCAGCAUCAUUUGUGAUGAUUGCAGUGGUUAUUUGGAUUCUUGAACAUCGAGUUAAUGAUGAAUUCAGAGGUCCUCCUAGAAGGCAGAUUGUAACAAUGUUCAUGUUCAGUUUCUCAACACUAUUCAAGACAAAUCAAGAAACUACCGUAAGUCCCCUUGGACGCAUGGUGAUGGUAGUAUGGCUUUUCCUAUUGAUGGUGAUAACUGCAAGCUAUACAGCAAGUUUGACUUCUAUUCUUACUGUUCAGCAGCUUUCAUCACCCAUUACUGGUAUUGAAAGCUUGAUUGCAAGUAAUUGGCCUAUCGGAUACCAAGUAGGGUCAUUUGCCUAUGGCUACCUAUCUGAAAGUCUUUAUAUACCUCCUUCUAGACUUGUUUCUCUUAAGUCCCCAGUGGAGUAUGAAAAAGCAUUGAGGCUAGGCCCAAAUAACGGUGGUGUGGCUGCAAUAGUAGAUGAGCUUCCAUAUGU